ensembl:antisense_RNA anr-49 ncRNA
UUUAGUUUUCCUUGAACAAACCGCAAAGCUUGCAAACCUUAGUUCGUCGGCCUCAAUUUCCUUAGAAACACAUGUGAAUAAUACAAUGAGGGGGGAGGGGUGGGGGGGGGGGAUGCAACAUUAUUUGCGCAAUUUUUUUCUGUAUUCCUCGUGUUAAGCCGAUUGCAAUACUUCAAGGUGAAAAGGUAUUAGGUUCUGAGAGAACUUUUAUGGCUGGGGACUGAGGGGGGAGGGGUGAAAGUUCCGAAGAAACACGUGAAGAGAAUUCGAGGAAAAAUUUGUGAAUUAUUUGUUAAGUUUUAAGUUUUUUUUUGGCUGAAAUUCAAAUUUGUCGUUGACCUCAUGGUGCAUCGACAGAGAUUUUCAAACAUUUUUCAGAUGGGAAAAAAUCAAUGCUAAUAACAUGAUUUCAUUCGAAAAUACUAACAUGGGACGUGUUACUGCAAAAUUUCCAGAUCUAAAUUUAUUCCAUGAUUUUUGUACAUGCCUCGAAAGGUAUCUAGAGAACGACCUAAAAUUCAGGUUAAAAAAAAAAAAGUAAAAAAGUUUUUUUGCUUCCAAACUAUAGGCAUAGCUGUGAGCACACUAACGAUACCAAAAGCAUGAAAUAAGAUGUUCUUAAUCAACAUAUGACUAUUUUUGAACAUUUUCAAAAUUGUCAGAAUCACAAAAAAUUAUGUUUUUUUUUUGCAAAAAUUCUAACUCUAGGACUUUUUAAUAAUGGUUUUUCUGAUGCAAGUAAAUUUUCAAUUUUUUUUUCCUAAAUUUAUCAAGUUUAUUGAAUAGUUUCAGAAAAAAAAUUACAAAACAAAUCAACGGAAAAAAUUUAAAAAAAAUUAUGCUUCUUCAAUAAUCUGGAGCUCAAAACUACUUUCUGGAUCCUUCCGACGGCUGCGAUAUCCCAUGAAAAUACAGUAGAAACCGAUGACCACCAGACAAAUGCAAAUUAGUAGCAGAGUAUCUGGAAAUAUAGCCACUUGUCCUAAAUUUAAAAAAAAAUUAAAGCUUACCCAUUACACCCCACCCGUGUUUGGUAUCUUCGAUGGUGGCAACUGUGCUCUCAAUAAAUUGGCAAACGUCGCCUUCAAACCCAGCUUGGCAAAAACAUCGCGGCUCCCCCUCAAUUCUAAAGCAGUACCCUCUACUGUGACAUUCGGAGGGGCACAUAGAAUCAAUCAUGCGCGUCAUCAUUAUCUGGAAGACUAAUAAUUAAUAGAUUUGGAGCAAUGCAAAAAAGUCGGGUUUGCUAUGUAACUAAGGUUUAAUGCAAACUUAAUACAAAAUAUAAUCCCUGAAUUUACCUUACGUAGAGAAACAACUACUAAAACGUGAGUUUGAACUGGUUUUGACACCAUUUAUCAACCAGAAAAUGUUACUGGCAACGGUACAGAUUUGGUCCUUUUUCUUAACUACGGAAAGUGUUAAAAAACAUUCUAUGGAGCUUAACUAAUCAAAUACCAUAGAAAAAGUUUACAAAACAUUUUGAAUUUUUUGACAGUGCAAAAUUAGAUUGAUCGGCACCUUCCAAAAAUGCAACAUAAUAUGGUAUAUUUGCAAUUAAAAAAACCAAAUAAAAAAUUACGUAAUUUUUGGACGUUUUACUAUGAAUUUUGGUUUAUGUGGUGCCAUAGACUCUACCUGUAACAUAGUUAAAUUUUGUUACUUGGUAGUGAAACUCAUUUUCUAAAGUCUAUUGAUCAAAUAUUACCGGAUUUAUAAAAUGUGGAGUUGAAAAACUAGAUAUCUCAAAAAUGAUAGCUUUUUGAAUCGAAAACUUGAUGGAAUGCAUAGAAGAUGAUCAAAAUCCCAGCAAUCUGGUGCAAAAUGUUACACAAAAUGAUAAACUGCAAAGACAGGCACUUUGACAACUUUUUUCUAAAAGAUGGUGAUAUCCAAAUAUAUGCCCAGCACUGUGAAGACAAUUGCCCGUUUACCGACUUGCCAGGAAGUUCAAUUACCGCAAUUGCCUGUUUGCCGAUUUGCCGAAAAUGUUCAAUUCCGACGUUUUGCCGAUGCUCCAAUUUGCCAGGAAAUUCAAUUCCGGCAAUUUGCCGGAA